AAUUCAAAGCUGAAAUUGGUCUUUGUCAAAAGACCCUCAACAAAUCGGAGAUGAUUCAAAGGAAGAAUGCUAGCUCUGUUAAGCGUUGGCGGAUAUCAC